GUGAUUGCUUCAGCUGCACAUAUACUAAAAUUGGAAUGAUACAGAGGAGAUUAGCAUGACCCCUGUUCAAGGAUGACAGGGAAAUUUGUGAAGCAUUCUAUGGAUUU
rnacentral:snRNA from 1 species